ensembl:lncRNA
CAAUAAUACGAUAUUACAGUGUUAUAACGUGCAUUAAUGGAUUAUUAUGAUUUAUAUAUUUAUAUAGUGGGUUUUAGUGAAUACACGUAAAUACAAAUAAAAAUAAUUCUUCACACAAGUUCAACACAAAAGGUUCCUGGAAAAGGUUUAAUAAAGUAAAGUGAAUGUAAUCAGUAUGUUUGGUGUAAUGUCAGAUCUUUGUGUGGAUUAGAUCAGAAGUGAUAAAGACUCAAACGUGUUCAGCGGUGUUCCUGUAUUAUUAUUAUUAUUAUUAUUAUUAUUAUUAUUAUUAUUACUGCACGUUGAUACAGUUUCUUCACACACUUCCAGCCUGUUCCUCUGUUUAACACACACACACAUACACACACAUACACAAACAAACACAAACAUACACAUACACAAACAUAUAUAUACACAUACACACACACUCACACAUACACAAACACACACACACACAUAUACACACACACAUACACAAACAUAUAUAUACACAUACACUCACCCACAUACACAAACAUACACACACACACACACACACACACACAUAUACACACACACAUACACAAAGAUAUAUACACACACAUACACAAACACGCGCACACACACAAGGUUCACGGUAAAGGUUUAGACCCUACACAAAUAAUAAUAAUAAUAAUAAUAAUAAUAAUAAUAAUAAUAAUAAUAAUAAAACUCCAACAUAAAGUUUUAGUGAAACUCCGGCGGGAAGUUUCUUUCUUUCUUUCUUUCUUUCUUUCUUUCUUCACCUUUUCUUUCUUUUUUCUUUUUUGUCUUUUUGCUCUCAUGACAAAUAAAAAAUGGCGGUCAGUGCACUGUCUUUCCGAAGUUUGUUCUCUCGGUCAAAACUGGAGUCAAAAACAAACAAAAAAAGAACAAACAAAAAUAAUAAUUUAAUUUAAAAAAAACAACAAAAAAACAAAAACAAAACAAAAAAAACGACUAAACACAAACCGCUCGCGCUGUUCCGCGGGUAAAUAAUACUGAUUAUUCUCCGCGCGCAUGAAUGGAGAAGGGGGAAAGAGAGACGGGGGGAAAAUACCGACACACGCACGCACGCACGCACACACACACACACACACACACGCACGCGUGAGUGUGUACAGAAGGAGAAAAUGCGGUGAAUGCGCGCGGAGUGAAGGAGUAAAGGGAAGAAUGAAGAUGGGAUGAAGGGAGGCAGAAGUGGAGGAGUGAAGGGAUGAAGGAGUGGAGGAGUGAAGGGGUGAAGGAGUGAAGGAGUGGAGGAGUGAAGGAGUGGAGGAGUGAAGGAGUGAAGUAGUGGAGGAGUGAAGUAGUGGAGGAGUGAAGUAGUGGAGGAGUGAAGCGGCUCGAACGCGCGUCGGCUCGCAGUCACUUACUUUUCUGUGUCCUGUGACAUGAUGAUGUCUUUUGGACUCCUCGCCGAUAAUUCCUGGAGAAACUGGACUUUCAGCCCUGAUUCCAUUGGUCGAGGUGUGUAAGGAGGUCGGGCUGUGAUUGGCUGAGCCAGCACAGGUCCUGAAGGCCAGGAAGUGAAAUCACAGAGAAAUGAUACCAACUGAACGAAAUAAAAUCAACUCCAUGACAGUUUUUAAGAAUCGGAGCGGAUUCUUCUCCACACAUUUAUACCUGACCUUAGUGCUUCACUCUUUAACUCCCUCUGAGCCUUUGACAGCUGAGACACCCGGCAGUGGAGAGGUGGAGAGGUGCUGCAUGCCUGAGAUUUCUGAGUGGUAAGAAAGGGAAACCUGUUAGGACCUGCCUGGCCUGAUCCUGUGUACCUGUUGGACAG